ACGAACGCUGGCGGCGUGCUUAACACCUGCAAGUCGAACGGAAAGGCCUCUUUCGGGGGGUACUCGAGUGGCGAACGGGUGAGUAACACGUGAGUAACCUGCCCUUGACUUUGGGAUAACUUCAGGAAACUGGGGCUAAUACCGGAUAGGAGCUCCUGCUGCAUGGUGGGGGUUGGAAAGUUUCGGCGGUUGGGGAUGGACUCGCGGCUUAUCAGCUUGUUGGUGGGGUAGUGGCUUACCAAGGCUUUGACGGGUAGCCGGCCUGAGAGGGUGACCGGCCACAUUGGGACUGAGAUACGGCCCAGACUCCUACGGGAGGCAGCAGUGGGGAAUAUUGCACAAUGGGUGGAAGCCUGAUGCAGCAACGCCGUGUGCGGGAUGACGGCCUUCGGGUUGUAAACCGCUUUCGCCCAUGACGAAGCUUUGUGUGACGGUAGUGGGUAAAGAAGCACCGGCUAACUACGUG
rnacentral:rRNA from 1 species